AAGCUUCACACCCUGGCCAGGGAUGGCACACUCCUGGCUACAUACUCAGACCCAGCACUAGAUAGCCUAUAUAGCCUAUCUGGUCUACAUGUGACCCCUGCAGGCCAGGUGCUGGUCUGUGGAUACUGGUCCCACACUGUACUACAGGUGGGCUGGGAGGGAGAGAGUAAGCUGGCUAAUCUUGCUACACGGGAGGAUGGAGUGUGGUACCCACGGUCAGUCUGCUACAGCAGCACAAUAUUAUCCAUCAUUGUGGGACAGCUGGGGGACAUCCUGGUGUUCAGAGUGGAAUAGUGUGUACAUUUGCUGCUGGGUCGGGACAACGAUGCUGAGGAUGUGGGGGACAAGCAUGACGCAGAAGGAGAGCACCAGCAUUGAUAUCGAGUUGGCCAACCAACAGCACCAGUCGGGCCUGCAGGAGCCCCAACACAAAACAAUCCUUUCCCUUCCCUGAUCCCUAGCUCCUCCCACUGGACCUAUGGCUUCAAAUGGUCAGCAUCGUUACACAAGUCUGUUCUGCAAUAAAUCCUCAGCACGUCAAGUUUUCACGCGCUGUUAUGAACAACCGAAAUGUCUGUGUCGAGAUUUCCCCAAGCAAGCCCGAGUAGUUUUGUUUAGGUCUAGUGCCCGAGUAGGAUGAGUGUUACAGAAGCGAGACGUUAUAGCAGUACUUAUGGUAACGCUAACAGUUAGUUCUCGCUGUGGACAUCACAAAGAAUCUCACGAAGAAUGAAACGUUGAAUAAUUUGUUUAAUUCUUUAUAAGACAGCUAUAUAUUCAGCGAGGAACGGGAGCAAAUCAAGGAACAACCGAGACAAUUCAUUCAGAAGAAUAUCUGCUGUAGAUAGUUAGGACAGUAGUAGCGUUACGGACUGUCCUCAGUGCACAAUAUAUUCAUGUGGUGCACCUCAGACGCAAAUUCCCCCCAUUAUUGAAAACAAGUUGCUAAAAGUAAACACGCCCAGUUUUGCACUCCGAGCCCAAACGGCAUCGCAUUGAAUUGAGACUAAACGAGGCUUAAAAACAUGACACCAGUUUUGUUGUAAGGUACGCCCUUCGACUCUCAACCCGAAGUUUAUCAGAACUCAAACUUGGCCCUUAACAAUAUCUGCGAAGCCGGCAUAUCAGCUCAGCUUCUGAGCUUCAGCAAACACUAUAAGCCGCCAAGAUAAAAACAUCGUUGAAGUGAAAGUCGAUGACAAUCCUGACCCCUUCGCUUAAGUAAUUCAGCACAAAAACGUCUUGCGUCGGAGUAGCAAGCCUCCAAACAUCUUCUCCCGUGUUGGCUACAUCAACACUUUUUACAGCGGAGCCUUGGCGAGUUCGACUUCCAUUUCAGCAUCGAUGUUGCUUAGCAACAAUUCAAUGCUGGGAAUCGACAAAUUGUUCUAGACGAGUCGCUUACACAGAAACAAUCUGAUCCAACAGAUAGAGCAUGCGUUGCGUGACUUGUCCCUUAUUGCAACUUACCUCGAUAAGUUGCUCUCGAAUAAUGUGAACCUUAUGCCAGUAUGCGAUUGACACCAUUUAACAACAGUUGUUGUUGAGAAUUCCCGGGUUUGAGGUGGCAACUUUGGCGUCGGGACUCGCUCCAUCUCUGUCUAUGGCCCGGUCAAAGCAGCAGCAGCAGCAACAAUAAGAACAACAAGUAGUAUCUGAGCGGUGCUCUGGGAUACGGGGCUUCAUAGCCUGUUCCUCCUGGUCCAGGACCUUUGGACAAAUGUUCAAAUAGUACUACCCACAGGAUGAAGCCACUCUGAAUCCGGGGCUCCAUACGUUCUUGGCCAGGGGCGAAGACUACCUCGUCAAUAAGCAGAGCACCAGCAUUGAUAUCGAGUUGGCCCAGCAACCGCACCAGUCCCGCCUGCAGGAGCCCCAGUCCAGAACGACCCUUCCCCUCCCUUGACUUCUAGCUCCCCUCCCUUGACCGCCUGCCUCAAAAAGUCAGCAUCGUUGAACAACUCCGUUCUGCAGCAAAUUCUGAGCAUGAUUCUGUUCUGAACAAACGCAAUGCCCACGUCACGUUUUCCAAACAUAAGCCUGGGUAGUUUUGUUAAGCUAGAGUUCCGCGUGGGCCUGAAAGGGACGAGUGUUACAGACACAAACAGUUAUAGCAGUAGUUAUGGUAACGCUAACAGUCAGUUGUUGCUGUUGGACAUCACAACAAAUAUCAUGAAGAAUAAAAAAUUCAAUAAGUUGUUCCAAUCUUUAUGGGACAAACAGAAAUUGAACGGAAGAAAAUCAAGGAACAAUAAAAGCGUAAGCUUUCCUAGUGGGAUACAUCUGCUGUUGAUAGUUUGGACAACAGUAGGGUUGCGGACUGCCCCAGAUUGUCCUCUCAGCGGCCAAAAUAUCAUAAUAGAACGGACUUUUGGCAAUGUUACUGACACAGAAAGGCAAUAAUGACUUGGUUGUCAAUACCCAGAGCACGAUACAUCCAUGCUGACAAAGAAAGGCAGUAAUGACUUGGUUGUGAACACCCAGAGCGCCAUACAUCCAUGCUGACACAGUAAGGCAGUAAUGACUUGGUUGUGAACACCCAGAGCACAAUACAUCCAUGCUGACACAGAAAGGCAGUAAUGACAUGGUUGUGAACACCCAGAGCAAAAUACAUCCAUGCUGACACAGAAAGGCAGUAUGACUUGGCUGUGAACACAGAACACAAUACACCCAUGCUGACACAGAAAGGCAGUAAUGACUUGGUUAUGAACACCCAGAGCAAGAUAUUUCCAUGCUGACACAGAAAGGCAGUAAUGACUAUGCUGUGAACACCUUGAGCAAGAUAUAUCCUUGCUAACACAGAAAGGCAGUAAUGACUAUGCUGUGAACACCCGGAGCAUAAUACAUCCAUGCUGACACAGAAAGUUAGUAAUGACUAUGCUGUAUACACCCGGAACACAAUACAUCCAUGCUGACACAGAAAGGCAGUAAUGACUUGGUUGUGAACACCCAGAGCACAAUACAUCCAUGCUGACAAAGAAAGGCAGUAAUGACUUGGCUAUGAACACAUAACACGAUACACCCAUGCUGACACAGAAAGGCAGUAAUGACUUGGCUGUGAACACAGAGCACAAUACAUCCAUGCUGAAACAGAAAGGCAGUCAUGACUAUGCUGUGAACACCCAGAGCACGAUAUAUCCACGCAUACGCAGAAAGGCAGUAAUGACUAUGCUGUGAACACCCAGAGCAAGAUAUAUCCAUGCUGACACAGAAAGGCAGUAAUGGCUAUGCUGUGAACACCCAGAGCAAGAUAUAUGGAUGCUGACACAGAAAGGCAGUAAUAACUAUGCUGUGAACACUCAGAGCACAAUACAUUCAUGGUGACACAGAAAGGCAGUAAUGACUUGGUUGUGAACACCCAGAGCAAGAUAUAUCCAUGCUGACACAGAAAGGCAGAAAUGACUUGGCUGUGAACACAGAACACGAUGCACCCAUGCUGACACAGAAAGGCAGAUAUGACUUGGCUGUGAACACAGAGCACAAUACAUCCAUGCUGACACAGAAAGGCAGUUAUGACUUGGUUGUGAACACAGAGCACAAUACAUCCUUGUUGACAUAGAAAGGUAGUAAUGACUUUGCUGUGAACUCAGAGCACGAUACAUCCAUGCUGACACAGAAAGGCAGUAAUGACUUUGCUGUGAACUCAGAGCACAAUAUAUCCAUGCUAACACAGAAAGGCAGUAAUGACUUGGAUGUAAAUACCCAGAGCACAAUACAUCCAUGCUGACACAGAAAGGCAGUAAUGACUUUGCUGUGAACUCAGAGCACGAUACAUCCAUGCUGAGACAGAAAGGCAGUAAUGACUUGGAUGUAAACACCCAGAGCACAAUACAUCCAUGCUGACACAGAAAGGCAGUAAUGACUUUGUUGUUAACACUAAGAGAUCCAUACAUCCAUGGGGUGUGCAACAGACGCAAAUUACGCCCACUAUUUUGAACAAGGUGCUUAAAGUGAACACGUCUAGUUUCUGUUAUGAGCACUUAGCAUUCCGAGUCCAAAAGGCCUCGCAUUGAAUUGAUGUGAGAGAAGGCUUUGAAAAAUAACAGCAGUUUUGUUGUGUGGUCCAAUACGCCCUUCGACUCUCAACCCGAAGAAAUCAAAACUCAAACUCGUCUCUUAGCAAUAUCAGCAAGGCCAGCAUGUCAUCUCAGCUUCUUGAACUUCAGUGAACUUAACUAGCAAACAUGACAAACGUCAUUGAAGUGAAAGUCGAUGACAACCCCCUUCUUGCACAAAUACUACAAUUGCUUAAGAAAUUCAGCACAAAGACGUCUUGCGUCAGACUACCAAGCCUCCUAUCAAUAUCUUCUCCCAUGUUGGCUACAUCAACACUUCCAACAGCAGAGCCUUGGUGAGUUCGACUUCCGUCUCGGCAUUGAUGUCGCUUAGCAACAAUUGGAUGAUGGGCGUCGACAAAUUAGGCCGGACAAGUCGCUCAAACUGAAAUGAUCUGAUCCAACAGGUUUGUGGUGGCGACUUCAGCGUCAGGACUUGCUCCAUCUCUGUCUAUGGCCCAGUCACAGCAGCAGCAGCAGCAACAAGAACAAUAAGAACCCAGGCAAUCAUAGAUCAGUACCUAGCUGAACAACAGGCUGUCUGGUCAGCUGGGCCCAGGGCCCAGUGACACUUCCUGGCCCAGGACCUUGGGGCCAAUGCUCAACUAGUCCUACCCGCAAGGUGGAGCCACACUGAACCUGGGGCUCCAUACUUUCUUGGCCAGUGGCCAAGAUAGCCUCGUCAAUUAGGGACACAUUCCUGGGAUGCCCUAAGGUCUUUCUAUCUUUUCACAGAAGUCUUAUACUCACAAGUUCAAGCCCAGUAGCAAUGUCCACAUUAUCAAACUCUGCAUCUCAAUAGAAACCCGGAUAGCAAGGCGUUGAGUUUGUUCUUGAAGCAUUUGCACCUUAAGCAGUCAUCAUUUUGAUAUUCUGGAAUCUCCAUGGUGAAGGACCCUCAGUCUGUGAACAAAAUGCAGAGCGAACCUCAGAUGCCUUUUGACGAAAUCAAAUCAUCCAGUCAGAAACACAGACUGUUGCAGCAGUUGUGACCAUAUUGACCCCAGUCAAACCUAAGAAGCUCAGAGAUAAAUACUGAUUUAGUUCUGCUAGUCUCUACAUACUGCCUGGUUUGGUCAGCACUUACUCUGACUCUUUGAAUAUUAUGACGGAUGGAAAUGAAUGACCUUGUUCAGAUCGAAAUGGCAGAAUGACACAUCACAAGAAUUCAAGCGGAAAGCCAGAAAGUCAUGUCAAUAGCCACAUUUUUUAUGGCACCAGCCAAGUUGUAUUCAAAGACAAACAAUAGUUUAUGCUCUAUUGUGUAUGUGACCAGCCAAGUUGUAUUCAAAGAAAAACAAUAGUUGACGUUUUAUUUUCUAUGUGACCAACCAAUUUGUUUGUAUAGGUCCCUGGUUUAACAAAGCAUUUAAAGUAAUUUUAAAAGCACACAUAUUGCAUGUCUAUUCAAUGUCUUUGCCUGUAUUAUGAAACUUUCACUACAGAUAUUGAUCCUGAUGAUGGUAAAUAAAUGGGAAAUACAAUGUUAUCAAAGAUUUUUUAAGAUUGCCAAAGCUGUUUAAAUGAUGCUGGUAACUGGAAAAAAAAAUAUUGGAAUAUUUUCAUGUUAUAAGACGAGUUUCAGUUGUCUGUUUUUAACCCGUUAAUAUAGAUAAGCUAAUUUAAAAUAUUUGUUCAGAAAGGUGUAAAAUGAUUACGCUUCAGAUUUUUGUCUAUCAACCUUCUGAAAACAAUACUAGUCAAUUGGCUCAUUUGGGUCAGUAUUCGAUCAUGAAUCUUUUUUAGUAGCAUACUAUGUAUUUCAUGGGAAUAUAAAUAAAUUAUGUGCAAAAUUAUUUAAUCUACCUAAAAUAAUCGAUUCUGUAUUUACUACUAGUACUUUGUUGAUGUCAGUGGAUAUUGUUUGUUAAAUGAUUUGAGUAUGACUCUUGUUGAAAAGCUUUAAAUGAAACUGAAUUAAAAAAUAAAUAUUUAAUUUGUUUUAGAGUUUUAUGAAAAAUGGCAAAAGAUUGUUAAGUUGUGUUCUUUUAUCAUAUACUAACAUGGUCAUAAGUGUUAAAAUUUGUUUUCAGACAUAAUAGUUUAUAAUGCUUUAUAUUUGUAUAUGUACAUAACGACGACCAGAUUGUAUCCUCUUUAAUCAGUGAGUAAUUUAAUCAUGAUUUCUUGAUCACUGUAUCAAGUGUAUAUGUAUAUUUUGCCAUAUAUACAUAUAGCAACUGUAAAACAAUUGUAUUUUAAAUGUAAUGUAUUCAUGUAUUGUUGCCAUUUUUAUAAGAUAAACUCACUGUAAACAUUAAUUUGAACAAACCAUUGUUAUAAAAAACAUUUCUUGUGUCAAUGCUAAAAUAUGUAUUAAACUGUUAAAAUAAUGUACAGUAACAACUUCUGAAGAGAAAAAUAUACUUAAGGCAAUAGAAACACAUUGUUAUAUGAAAUGCUUUUUAUUAAGAACACCUACUUAAAAUUUGUUUAAUUUUGUUUUAGAUUAUCUGAAAAAAAAAUAGUACCAUGUAAUUUGAAAUCAGUCAAUGACAAAUUAAGGGAGUGUUGCCAUAUGCUAACAAUAGUCAAGAAAUGAAAUUGUCUCUAUUAGUAAUACAACAGAGCAUUACAAUUUGCUUAAACAAGAGCACCGCAUAAAGGGUGCCACGCUCGGCUACGGGUGCAGUUUUGAAUAAAUGAAAGCUUGUUUGAAUUUAUUUUAGAGGUCACAGUGACUUGACCAUUGACCUAGUGACCCCAAAACGGGUGUGGUGUGUAGAACUCAUCAAGGUGCAUCUACAUAUGAAGUUUGAUAGUUGUAGUUGGAAGCACUUUGAUUUUAGAGCGAAUGUUAAGAUUUUAGCACGACGCGGACGGCGGACGACACGACGAUCUGUAUGACAAUACCUCGAGUUUUCUCCGAAAAUACCGAGCUAAAAAUAAAAACAAAGAUGUUUGCUUUGCAAUUUUUUUUAAAUAUACACUUAUGAAUGUGCUUAUAUUAAACGUAAACAGUAUUGACAUAUUGCUUAAGAUAAAGUUUGACAUUUUAUUAGUUUUGUAACAGUGUGUUUCACCUUUCACAUUGACAAUCCCACAUUUGCUUUCAGUGGGGCCAGUUUCUGUAACUCUUCCACUACAAGUUCAGCAAAUGUUUUAUGACCAGAUUUCCUCAUAUUUGGGAAUGUUUAUAUUUAACGUUUAUUGAAUGCAUGAAACAUGUUUGUUCUGUUUUUUAAUAGCUGAAAAUAGCUUGAUGUUUGUUAAUUGUGUGCCAUGUUGAUCAAUUGAUACAUAAAAAAAAACACAUUUUGCGUUAAUUUGUAUGUGUAGCUAAACAACACAUGUUACCAAAUACAAAUUUAAUUAUUUGGUAACAAUAUAAUUAUUGUGCUAUAUUCGUAAUACCGUAUGAAAUGCAAUAUUAAUUAAAAUGUGUUUAUAUGUUUGUCUACGUCAAAUAAUCAUUUGAAUAAGUAAAUAUAGGGUAAUGAUGUCUAUGGAAAGUACCCGUAGGCACGUUUCAAUUGCUUGUGUACCUCAUAUGGAUCAUGAGGGUCUGUCUAAAUUAUUGCAUGUUUUUAUGCCAAUGUCUGAAUUGUGUAAAUAUCUUCAAAAUCGUGAGAUAUUUGUUAAGAGGAUUUUAAUAUUAAAAGAUAUAAUAGCAUCUAAACUUUAACCGGUCAUCUUUUGCAUUUAUUUUUAUGUGUUUAUAUUGUUUUGCUUACCAAGUUUAAUAUUGUCUAUAUUCGUGCGUAAUUUUAUUGUGGUUGUUUUGUUAAGACAGAGCGCAUAUCACUAAUGCUGUUGUUUUAUGUUAUAUGUAAAUAAUUAAACAUGUUUAUUUUGG